rnacentral:rRNA from 1 species
GGUUGCUGUGGGGCUGUGGCCGCGGGUAGUGGAAGGGGUCGAGUGUUGCGCGGAAUGAGUUGGGGGAAAGGGCGCGGAGGCGGUUGGUACAGUCGGGGGUGAAAUUCCUGGGCUCAACCUGGGUGCUGGGUGCGAUACGUGCAGACUAGAGUGGGGAAGAGGGUCGUGGAAUUCCCAGUGUAGAGGUGAAAUGCGUAGAUAUUGGGAAGAACACCGGUGGCGAAGGCGGCGACCUGGUCCUUGACUGACGCUGAGGCGCGAAAGCGUGGGGAGCAAACAGGAUUAGAUACCCCUGUAGUC